rnacentral:rRNA from 1 species
ACCAACAGGGAUUGCCUUAGUAACGGCGAGUGAAGCGGCAAAAGCUCAAAUUUGAAAUCUGGCACCUUCGGUGUCCGAGUUGUAAUUUGAAGAAGGUAACUUUGGAGUUGGCUCUUGUCUAUGUUCCUUGGAACAGGACGUCACAGAGGGUGAGAAUCCCGUGCGAUGAGAUGCCCAAUUCUAUGUAAAGUGCUUUCGAAGAGUCGAGUUGUUUGGGAAUGCAGCUCUAAGUGGGUGGUAAAUUCCAUCUAAAGCUAAAUAUUGGCGAGAGACCGAUAGCGAACAAGUACAGUGAUGGAAAGAUGAAAAGAACUUUGAAAAGAGAGUGAAAAAGUACGUGAAAUUGUUGAAAGGGAAGGGCUUGAGAUCAGACUUGGUAUUUUGCGAUCCUUUCCUUCUUGGUUGGGUUCCUCGCAGCUUACUGGGCCAGCAUCGGUUUGGAUGGUAGGAUAAUGACUAAGGAAUGUGGCUCUACUUCGGUGGAGUGUUAUAGCCUUGGUUGAUACUGCCUGUCUAGACCGAGGACUGCGUCUUUUGACUAGGAUGUUGGCAUAAUGAUCUUAAG